AUGGCACUGGUAGAAUUCACUGUGAAAAGACUCUAUCAGUGAAUUACCUUAGGGCCAUAA
rnacentral:pre_miRNA from 1 species